CUGUUUGUCUCUCUCACACACACACACACACACACACACACACACACACACACACACACACACACACACACACACACACACACACACACACACACACACUCACACACACACACACUCUCUCUCUCACACACACACACACACACACACACUCACUCACUCUCACACACACACACACACACAGAAACACACACUCACUCACACACACACACACACACUCACACUCACUCUCUCUCACGCACACACUCUCUCUCUCUCACACACACACACACUAAACCAUUCUAUUGCACUAGUGGUGUAUUCUAAAUGUUAAAAGUUUUUAUAUUUGAUAUGACAUGUAAAGUUAAUAUAUUUUAAAUAUACUAAAAUGUUUCAUUAUUAAAAAUCAGUCUGUGUGUGUGUUUCUGUUUGUGUAUCUGUGUCNCACACACACACACACACACACACACUCACUCUCACACACACACAUGCAUGCACGCAUGCACUCAUACACACACACCCACACUCACACACACACACACACUCACACACAUAUACACACUCACUCACUCACACACACACUCACUCUCUCUCUCACACACACACACUCUCUCUCUCACACACACACUCACACACUAAACCACUGUAUUGCACGUUGUCUAAUUUUCUAGAUGUUUGAUAUGACAUUUAAAGUUAAUAUAUUUUAAAUAUACUAAAAUGUUUCAUCAUUAAAAAUCAGUGUGUGUGUGUGUAUCUCUGUGUAUCUGUGUGUGUGUGUGUGUGUGUAUCUCUGUGUAUCUCUCUCUGUGUGUGUGUGUGUGUGUGUCUCUGUGGGUGUGUGUGUGUGGGUGUGAGUGUGUGUGGGUGUGUGUGUAUGAGUGCAUGCGUGCAUGCAUGUGUGUGUGUGUGUUCAGCUGGUGUUCCUCUGCUGUUCCUCACAGCUCCUCCCGGUACGGUUCAGAUUCCCGUCUCGGCGGUGCAGCUUCAUCCAGUACGGCGAGAUCAACACUUCACAAAAACAGGUUUCCAUAGUGACAUUAUCUUAACAACGUCAGACUUCUGUGCGGUGUAA
ensembl:lncRNA